UUUCUUUUCGUAUUUCCCCCACACCCAUAUUGGAAACCAUUGUUGACUAUCUGCAAGUCUCACGUCCAUGUUCCUCCUUCUUCCGAUGAUCUCAAAGAGUAGCAUACCGAAACUAUAAACAUCACAUUUGUGUGAAACCGGGAGAGGUAGCCAGAGUUCGGGGGCGGCGUAUCCCGGAGUACCACGUCCUCCGGUCAUGGUUAUAUGAGUGUUAUCCCUGUUGCAGAGUUUAGCUAAACCGAAAUCCGCCACUUUUGCACAGAACUUUGAAUCCAAAAGUAUGUUUCCUGGUUUGAUAUCAUAAUGAACGAUUCUUUGAGGACAUUCUUCAUGCAAGUAAGCGAUGCCUCUUGCAGUUCCCAGACCAAUCUCAUAGAGCUGCUCAAACCCUAUAAUCGGUCCUUUGCUUGCUUUAAACAAGUGAUUAUCCAGGGAGCCGUUGACCAUAAAUUCGUAUACAAGAGCUCUUAAACUUGACUCGAAGCAAAACCCAUAAAGCCUGACGAGAUUAAAGUGAUGGGUUCUUCCCAUUGUGCUUACUUCCGCCAUGAACUGUUCUUCAAUUCUCUUGUCGGAGGUUCCGUUUAGUACUUUUACAGCUACAGCUAUGCCGUUGCUAACAAGACCCUUGUAAACUGUCCCGAACCCACCUGAACCCAAUAAGAUGCUGAAGUUUUCUGUGGCUAUUCUUAGCUGUUGAGCGGUGAACCGGAUCGGUUUUUCUCUUUCCAUGUCAUCCAGGAAUUUAACCAUGGCGAGCGGAAUAAAACGGGAGUCGUUAGGGAAUGGUUCCGUUUGCAUCUUAGAUCGUUGAUUCAGUUUAUUGCAUACACAUAAAAUGAUUGCUAUCUUCACCACAACAACUGCAAACAAAAAAAUAUUAAUAAUUAAUUAAUUAACUUCUGUAUUGUUUAAUAGAAGUUCACAACGAUGAGAGUACGUACUGGAAGAACUUACCAACAACAAUAACGAAAACUGCACCACCAUCGGCCAUAAUGUUUGAAGAUUAACACGAAAGGCUUUGCCUUUAAGGAUUCAAGAAUGUAUACACAACCAAAGAGUUGUUUUGUUUACAUGGACGUUUCAGAUAAGGGGUUUAAUUUAUUGUUUUUAUUAUUUGUCACUGAGACUAUAAAUCCAUAGAAUAAUGAUCAUGUUAAAGUAGUACUUGGUGUUUAAGCAUUUGUACAUUGCAGUCAGUUUAAAGUCUAUGGAACUUGGGUGAGUAGACAACAAUCGGCUACAAUUAAUGCCAACCGCAUAUGAUCGAAAAUGACGUUCAGUGUUUACUUAACAAAAUUUCGUUAACGUUGUUGAUUGGUUGAAAUGUGUUCUAUCAUAUUAUUCUUGUAGUAAUAAAUCUCAUUCUCUAAUUUACUUAAUCAUCAUCACGCAUGUAUAAACUACAUAAUACACAACAAGACUGUUUCCUAGUACAAGAUUCUGGAACACAAAAGACGUCCCCACUCUGUGGCAUCCCAAUUCAAUUCUUGAAUCUUUUUUAAUAGUUUUAUUUGUACACAACUUUGAUUACACACAGCUUUAUGGCAUAAUUGAUUGGAUCUGUUAAUUCUGAAUAUCAAAAUAAUUAUAUGAAUUCUUUGAUUAUGAUUUAUAUGUGUCUUCACAACGUAUGAUUCUGUGUGUAUGUGUUUUAUUCUUCACGGCAUACCCGCGUAUGAACUUUGAAACUUGGUGGGAUAAAGAAGGAAAGCAUGAUUCAGUGUCUAGGAAUGAGCAUGAUCAGCACCUAAAAAAGCUAUGUAAUAAUUAAAAUUUAAAAAUAUUAUAUAUUUAAAUUAGGGACAUAAUUGUCAACAAACUAUAAAUUAAAUAUGGAUAAAGAAAAUGUUUGUGGAAGAAUAAGCGUUUCACAUAAAGAUGAUAACUACGUUUGACUUGCCAAGUCAAAUGAGCAAGCCAUAAGACAAACAUAAUAAAUGAAGAGUAGCUUUCGAAGAGGAAAUUACAUGGGAAAGUUCUAAUCUUUGGUGUUGGAUGGGUUCAAGGCCGGUCCUAUUGUUUUUCAUGACAGGGACGAAAAAAUAUAAUAUGAUGCUACAAACCCAUUUUUAUUUCAUAUAACUACUACCACAAAACAAUGACAUAAUUUUCUAAAACAACAAUGUUACACAACUUAUUUAUUAAAGAAAUAACCAUAUUCAAUAGAAAGUAAACUUGCAAAUUUCACCUAAAAAGAUGUUUUCGUGUUAUUAAAGCAAAAACAUCAAAAAAAAUUUAGAACGGAGAAAUUUAGUGAAAUUAGAAAACCAACAGGAUAUGAACCAAAAACAAAGUGUUUUACAAAGGUGUCAAUAUAAACAAAAGAUAAGCUAAAACAACUCUAGAAAAACAUUGUAAUUCACAAGCAAGUCACGAAUACAGUAGGAGACAAUUCACAGUCAAAGAUCAAACAAUCAUAAUCAUUUCAAAAAUUAGCAGCCUUCAAUCGCUUUUCGUCUCGGCCCAAAACUAACUGCCAACACCAAAAUAAAGUGACAUGUGAUGGCAAAACUCACAACAACAAGGUACUUUGCAAUAUUAUGCAUCGAUAAACAAACCAAGGCCCUAACACCCUUUAGAGAUAAGAAGAAUGGUAGACAGAACUGGAACAAUAUACAUCUAAGCAAUCAACCCCAAUGAAAUCUCACUUGCAUCACCAAAAAGGCAAUGAACUCUAUGGAUAAAACCCAAAAUAGCAAAGAUUGUAUGAUUAUUUUGCAACAUUGGACCCACAAGCACUAGAGGUUGUCCAUCAGUUUUCUGCAUUAACACAAAUUUUGCACACAUGAGCAUUUCCAGCAGUGAAAAACCGAGUCAAAACUAGCAUGAGAGCUUUAAAUAACAGCUACCAACAUGUGAGACAAAAAAAACAAUUAUGGAAAAAAUGAAACAAAAACGCCAAUUGUACUAAUAAGUGAUUGUCCACCAGCAAUGCGCUUUGGACAACUCCAUUAUCCUAAACAUCAAUGAGCUAUGAAAACCCUGGGCAGCGAUCAAUCACCCACAUCCCAAAAAACAGAAAAUAAAUAAAUAAAUAAAUAAAUCACAAUCGAAUAAGUUAGCCUUUAGAGACUUUGAGCAAAAAUUGGAAUUAAAUAUGUUUAAAAUAAACCUCACUUAUAUCAUUAUAAUAAUGUAACAAACAGAAACAGCCGAUUUACAUAUCAUAUGCAUUUAAAAACUGAAAAGUAAAUAAAAACCAUGUCUUUAAGGUAUAAAAAUUGGAACGAGGAUUGACAAUCAACAAUGGCCUUUAAUUUAGGGCUUUAAAAAGGAAACAAGGAAGGUCGUCUUACAUAGACGGCUUGGGCUUGUCGUUGGGUGACACCAAGUGAAAGGAGCACCAGACAACAACGCCGGUAAUUUGGGCCGACUCUGGAUGGAUUGUCCGUUGGAUAAUAUAUAAACAUGUAGGAUAAUAUAUAAAUUCCUGUAAAUUCACAAUUAGCCUUUAAUUUAUCAGGUAUUUUAACUUUUAAUCAAAUAGGAAAUUCCUGUAAAUUCACAAUUAGCCUUGUAGGAUAAUAUAUAAACAUGUUCGAAAAUCAUAAUUUACAAGAAAUUGGAGAAGUAUGACAAUCAAGGAAAUCAUUUGUAUUACUCCUUAUCCCAUUUCCAACUAAGUGUGACUGUAAUGAUGAACUACAAGUCUACAAUACUUCAAAAUGUCUCCUUUCAACAAGCGUGGCGAUAGUGAUGAACUACAAUACUAUGUUUCAAGAACUAAAGAUAAUUGAGGAAGAAGCUUCAAGGUUUGCCCUAACUAGCUAUAACGUAAAUUUUUUUAAUUUUCUUCGUUAAGUUAGUAAAUGUUUGUUUUUAUCUAAGGCUAUAAUGGUGAAAAUGUUAACAGGGUCCAAAAAAGGAUGUGAAUAUUUCAAGUGGCUAGGUACAUCAUCACCAACAGGGGAGUUGUAUAAUGAAAUUGUUAUCUGGUGUACUUUAAGUGGAGAUACUAGCUAAGAGGGUGACCUUGUUGUUGAAGUUGGUUUUGGUGAUGAAGGUGAUCAGUAGAGUCAUUCUUAUUUUGAGAUUGUAGGUUAAGGGAUUGCUCUAGGUUAAGAUUGCUGUUAAGGUUUGUGUGUAGUUAAGGUUAGGUUUGUACAUGUGGUACAAUGUGACAAUAAAAAUAAUGUUAGGGUUAAAGGUGUCAAUAAGGCUUUAGUCCAAGGACCAACUCAGUUUCCCAUUCAAUAUUUUAUGGGAGGUACCCGCGGGACCUCACAAUUUUGAGUUGAUUGGGUUACAUAUGCGGCUUCACUAACACUUAUAUAUUAUUUUCAACUCGUGUAAUAAUCACUUGUACAUUAUGCAUCAAAACUUGUACCAAAUCAAUUUUGUAUGUUAUUUAAUCAAAUUUUAAAUUAUUUUGUAUAAUUUUUAUUAGUUUGUGUUUAUUUUAAAAUAAAAAAUUAAGUGGGUUGGGAAAGAUAGAAUUUCAAUAUUUUCUCGGUUGAGAAAGAUGGAAGAGAGAGGAGAAAGAAAUGCUGAUGUGGCAAUGAGUUGAGUGAGUUGGGAGGAAAUGACACCCUCCUCCAUUAGAGUGCUAGAGGUGUGCAUGAGAAUUGGUUAAGAAUUUUGAGACCAAUCAUGGUCCAUAACGAGUUAAAAUAAGGGGCUGUUUGACAGGAUCUUAAUUUUUAAGAUCUGAAUUUUUAAGAGAUCUGAAUUUCUAAGAGGGUCUGAAUAUUUAAGAUCUAAAUUUUUAACAUGUUGUUUGGUUUAAACAUCUGAAUUGUUAUCUGAAUGAUAAAAAUGACUAUUUUACCCUUGUAUGGUUUUGUUUUGUGCUAAAUGAUAAUUGAUAAAAGUUACAAAUAAUCAUACAAUAACCAAUUUAAACAUAAACUCUUCCAAAUUCACUUCUUUCAAUUCAUGGAAACAUAAACAUCAUACAAUAUUACCAAAUUAAACAUAAAUUCUUCCAAAUCCACUUCUUUCAAUCUAUAGGAGAAAAAAAACACCACCACCAAUCUUAUAUGUAUUUUACCCAAUUUCUAAACCAAAGACCUACUUCCUGCACACCAAAACUACCGGGCAUUUAUAAUUUGAUUAUAAAGUCAUUGUGAAAAAGUAUAUCCAUUGAAGCUCAUAGAACUUUUCACAAACAGUUGGGGUGCAUAAGAGCUUCAAUGAGUGAACUCAUGUACCUUUAUCUUUUCACGUUAUACCUAUAAAGAUAAACCUGCAGUAACCAGUAGAAAACAUAUAAAUCGACUCUCAUAAGAAGUUGACUGCGUAGUAUACAAUUGAUUAAAUGGAAGGCGGCACAGGCAAACCGACGGUGGCAGACGGGAUAAAAACUGACCACCAUUACCAUUGGGUCCAGAAUUGACCAUGGACAUUAAAAAAAUUUAAGUUCAAAAAAUGUAAAGAACCUCAUGUGCAGUGCAAUGACCAUUUGUAUAUUUACUUCUUUUUGGAAAAAUCAACACAACAGCUUUAAUCGACGAUUGAAAGUCCGUCUUCUUCAGGAACCAACACAAGUGCUAGUGCAUCAGGAUCCAGAGGAACAUCGACACUUGGGGGGAAAGAAGGAAGAAACAGAAGAAGAGCAACGUACACAUUUUGAUUUCGAUUUUCGAUUUUCAAAAGAAGAGAAACGACCCUGCUUUAGGGCACAAACUGAAAAAACGAGUUGGAGACGGAGCGGGUGCGGUGGCGUCGGCGGUGCAGCGGCGUCGACGUUGGGGUGGGCGACAUCGUUUCAGGCGGCUUCGCCGGAGAUUUGGUGGUGAAGGGAAGCAGACGCACGGAAGAGGAGAUGAGGAGGGCAGGAGGCGUGUUUUGUUCGCUCGUGGUUUAGGGCAAAAUAGGAACGCGUUCUUUUUUUAAAAUUCAGACUAUGUUCAAUAUCUGAAAAAUUAAGAGGCAUUUACAAUUUUAAGAGGUAAAAAAUAAGAUGUAAACAAACGAUCUGAAUCUGAAUUUUUAAGACAUUGUCUCUUAAUUUUGCAAUUAAGAGGUAAACAAACGGGGCCUAAGCCCGUGACUGAUUACUCAAUGUCGAUUGUAACAUUUAGAGAUCCAACGUGUUUUUUUUUUUUUUUUUUUUUUAACUGGUAAAUACAAAUAUCUAAUCUACUCUUAAACUAACACCUAAUUUUUCACUUAUGUCCACGACAUGAUUUGCACCCUCGACCUCAAAGAAUGAAGACACCACCUGAUACCUAAUUAAAGUUGUAGUAUGGUUAAGGGAAUGGUUAUGUAGGCCUAGUUAUGGUUAUCGGCCCGAUUGUAACGUUUUAAGUAAAAUACUUUCGAAUAAUUUACAAAAAUCAGUUAAAAGGGCAUGGGCCUAUAAGCGUUUUCCUAUGCUCGCUUACAACGUGGUUAAAAUUUUUCUUGACUAGGCCCGUUUAAGGCAUUUACGGGAGGCCUGGUUAGUGAUUUUAUGAUUGGGCCAGUAAUGACUAUAAGCUCGGCACACCUUAUUUUUUCCCUCUUGAGCUUUAGGUUUAACGAGGUAUGGCUCGAAGAUCUCGACCCAACUUACAUGCUCACUUGCUCAGAUACUAAAAAAUAACUUCUUAUAACAUCCUACAUAAAAGAGAGUCACAUUAUCCACUUUUCAGCCUUAAUUUAUAAGCUAGCAAUGAUAUAGUUCCAUAUGCAUUUUUAACUUUUUUAUAUUUUGCUCUUAUGUAGUAUAAAAGAGGUACACCUUUGACGUCAAAACAAGCACACAUUUGGUUCCAAAACGAUGAGAGAUUUAGUUGUUAAUUUGGAUAUCCAAAAUAUCCUUCAAUAUAUAACAAAACAAAAGAUAACGUUGCAUUUAUUUUCUUCCAGAUCUAUUUGGUUGUCCUUCUAUACAUAGUUCUGUAUAAUUACUCCGAUGCCAUUGUGAUCUCAUGUCUCUUCAUCAGAGGUGUACCUGCAACUACAGUAGACUUGGUGUUAACAUCAGACGAAGACCAAUCGGAACCACCAUCAUUCCAAGCCAAUCGAGCCAAAGAAUCAUCAACUUCAUUAACACCUGAGAACAGAUACGAAAACGGAUUUAAAGGCUCCGGCACCGGUAAUGCACCUUCCAACAUUUUCACAACGAUGCUCAUCACCGGCCGAGUCUCUGGUCUAUACUGAACGCAACAAAGUGCUACCUUAAGCAUCCUCUCAACAGCUUCAUGAUCCUUCUCCUCAAUCGCACAAACCAUCAUCAAAUCCUUCAACUCUUUCUUUUCGUAUUUCCCCCACACCCAUAUUGGAAACCAUUGUUGACUAUCUGCAAGUCUCACGUCCAUGUUCCUCCUUCUUCCGAUGAUCUCAAAGAGUAGCAUACCGAAACUAUAAACAUCACAUUUGUGUGAAACCGGGAGAGGUAGCCAGAGUUCGGGGGCGGCGUAUCCGGGAGUACCACGUCCUCCUGUCAUUGUUAUAUGAGUGUUAUCCCUGUUGCAGAGUUUAGCUAAACCGAAAUCCGCCACUUUUGCACAGAACUUUGA
rnacentral:lncRNA from 1 species